rnacentral:rRNA from 1 species
GAGGAAUAUUGGUCAAUGGACGCAAGUCUGAACCAGCCAUGCCGCGUGAAGGAUGACGGCCCUAUGGGUUGUAAACUUCUUUUAUAUGGGAAUAAACCCUUUUACGUGUAAGAGGCUGAAGGUACCAUAUGAAUAAGCACCGGCUAACUCCGUGCCAGCAGCCGCGGUAAUACGGAGGGUGCAAGCGUUAUCCGGAUUCAUUGGGUUUAAAGGGUGCGCAGGCGGGAUUUUAAGUCAGUGGUGAAAGCCCAUCGCUCAACGAUGGAACUGCCAUUGAUACUGAAGUCCUUGAAUCUGGUUGACGUGGGCGGAAUGUGUCAUGUAGCGGUGAAAUGCUUAGAUAUGACACAGAACACCAAUUGCGAAGGCAGCUCACGAAGCCAGUAUUGACGCUCAGGCACGAAAGCGUGGGGAUCAAAC